GAUCUGGCUGUGACAUCUGUCACCCCAUUGAUCACCAGGGUUGAUUUGGCUGGCUAGGCAGGUGUCCCCUUCC